AACCUCCGCAAUGUGAGAAAUCGCGACGGGGGGAUCCCAAGUGCCAUUCCUAACGGGAUGGCUUUUCAUUAGUGUAAAGAGCUUUUGGAAUAAGGGCUGGGCAAGACCGGUGCCAGCCGCCGCGGUAACACCGGCAGCUCUAGUGGUAGCAGUUUUUAUUGGGCCUAAAGCGUCCGUAGCCGGUUUAAUAAGUCUCUGGUGAAAUCCUGCAGCUUAACUGUGGGAAUUGCUGGAGAUACUAUUAGACUUGAGACCGGGAGAGGUUAGAGGUACUCCCAGGGUAGAGGUGAAAUUCUGUAAUCCUGGGAGGACCGCCUGUUGCGAAGGCGUCUAACUGGAACGGUUCUGACGGUGAGGGACGAAAGUUAGGGGCGCGAACCGGAUUAGAUACCCGGGUAGUCCUAACUGUAAACGAUGCGGACUUGGUGUUGGGGUGGUUUUGAGCUGCUCCAGUGCCGAAGGGAAGCUGUUAAGUCCGCCGCCUGGGAAGUACGGUCGCAAGACUGAAACUUAAAGGAAUU
rnacentral:rRNA from 1 species